rnacentral:rRNA from 1 species
ACGCUCGACACCUACGGUGAGGCAGCAGUGGGGGAUAUUGCACAAUGGGCGCAAGCCUGAUGCAGCGACGCCGCGUGAGGGAAGACGGUCUUCGGAUUGUAAACCUCUGUCUUCGGGGACGAUAAUGACGGUACCCGAGGAGGAAGCCACGGCUAACUACGUGCCAGCAGCCGCGGUAAUCUGAGCGGGCUGGCAAGGC